UCUAUCAACUAAGAUCUUAGUCCUUAAUUUCUGAAAAUUUUAUAUGAAGGUUUUAACAUAAAAACACCGUAUAUGUAUAUAUAUAAAACAAAAAUUAAAUUAAAUCGAAAAUUUCCUGACCGAAUUCAUGUGGGUAUACAUUUCAGGCUGAAUUCAAAUCUGUUUUCACAAUUGUAUUAUUCUUAUCACUUCGCUACAUCGAUCGGUUGUUGAAAAAUUGGUCUAAAUCGCUAUACUGAGUUCGCG